GUCUUGUCUGUGAUGUUCCAAACACAAAUGUCUGAACAUAUGAUUUCCUGUGAUUCACACUUCUGUUCUGAGACAAGAC